ACAAUGAAGAGUUUGAUCCUGGCUCAGGAUGAACGCUAGCUACAGGCUUAACACAUGCAAGUCGAGGGGCAUCAGGAAGAAAGCUUGCUUUCUUUGCUGGCGACCGGCGCACGGGUGAGUAACACGUAUCCAACCUGCCCUUUACUCGGGGAUAGCCUUUCGAAAGAAAGAUUAAUACCCGAUGGGAUAAUCAUUCCGCAUGGUUUGAUUAUUAAAGGAUUCCGGUAAAGGAUGGGGAUGCGUUCCAUUAGGUUGUUGGUGAGGUAACGGCCCACCAAGCCUUCGAUGGAUAGGGGUUCUGAGAGGAAGGUCCCCCACAUUGGAACUGAGACACGGUCCAAACUCCUACGGGAGGCAGCAGUGAGGAAUAUUGGUCAAUGGGCGCGAGCCUGAACCAGC
rnacentral:rRNA from 1 species